AUUAGGUUUUGGGGCUAGGAUUAGGUUUAAGGUUUUUGGCGUUAGGGUUAAAAUCACUGUCCAAUAUUUUUUAAGGAACAUGUUUCAGACCUUUUGGAGUUAGGUAGACCAAAAAAAAGAAAAAAGAAAAAAAAAUAUUUGGGCUUUUCGGGCUUCCUGAAGGUAUUAGGUUUUGGGGCUAGGGAAAGGUUUAAGGUUUUUGGCGUUAGGGUUAAAAUCACUGUCCAAAACCUUUUAAGGAACAAGAUUCAGACCUUUUGGAGUUGGUUACACCAAAAAAAAUGUAAAAUGAAAAAAAAUAUAUUUGGGGUGUUCGGGCUUCCUGAAGGUAAUACCCUUCAGGUUUAAGUAUUAGGUUAUGGGGCUAGGAUUAGGUUUAAGGUUUUUGGCGUAAGGGUUAAAAUCACUGUCCAAUAUUUUUUAAGGAACAUGUUUCAGACCUUUUGGAGCUAGUUUGACCAAAAAAAAAAAAGAAAAAGAAAAAAUAUAUAUUUGGGGUGUUCGGGCUUCCUGAAGGUAAUACCCGGGUAUUAGGUUAUGGGGCUAGGUUAAGGUUUAAGGUUUUUGGCGUGAGGGUUAAAAUCACUGUCCAAAACCUUUGUAGGAAGUCUUUUCCAACCUUUUGGAGUUAGUUAGACAAAAAAAAAAAGAUAAACACCCCAAAAAAUAUUUGGGGUGUUCGGGCUUCCUGAAGGUAAUACCCGGGUAUUAGGUUAUGGGGCUAGGGUAAGGUUUAAGGUUUUUGGCGUAAGGGUUAAAAUCACUGUCCAAAACCUUUUUAGGAACAUGUUUCAGACCUUUUAGAGUUGGUUACACCAAAAAAAAUGUAAAAUGAAAAAAAAUUUUUUUUGGGUGUUCGGGCUUCCUGAAGGUAAUACUAGGUUUCUGGGCUAGGGUAAUGUUUAAGGUUUUUGGCGUUAGGGUUAAAAUCAAUGUCCAAAACCUUUGUAGGAACUCUUCCAACCUUUGAGAGCAAGUUAGACCAAAACAAAAAGAAAAAUAAAAAAUAUAUAUUUGGGCUUUUCGGGCUUCCUGAAGGUAAUAGGUUAUGGGGCUAGGGUAAGGUUUAAGGUUUUUCGGCGUGAGGGUAAAAAUCACUGUCCAAAACCUUUGUAGGAACACUUUACCAUCCUUUUGGAAUUAGUUAGACCAAAAAAAAAACGAAAAAUGAAAAAACAAUAUUUGGGCUUUUCGGGCUUCCUGAAGGUAAUACCCGGGUAUUAGGUUAUGGGGCUAGGGUAAGGUUUAAGGUUUUUGGCGUUAGGGUUAAAAUAACUGUCCAAUAUUUUUUAAGGAACAUGUUUCAGACCUUUGGGAGUUAGUUAGACAAAAAAAAAGAAAAAGAAAAAAAAAUAUUUGGGGUGUUCGGGUUUCCUGAAGGUAAUACCCGGGUAUUAGGUUAUGGGGCUAGGGUAAGGUUUAAGGUUUUUGGCGUUAGAGUUAAAAUCAGUGUCCAAAACCUUUUUAGGAACAUGUUUAAGACCUUUUGGAGUUGGUUACACCAAAAAAAAAUGUAAAAUGAAAAAAAAAAAUAUUUGGGGUGUUCGGGCUUCCUGAAGGUAAUACCCGGGUAUUAGGUUAUGGUGCUAGGGUAAGGUUUAAGGUUUUUGGCGUGAGGGUUAAAAUCACUGUCCAAAACCUUUGUAGGACCUCUUUUCCAACCUUUUGGUGUAAGUUAGACCAAAAAAAAAAACGAAAAUUGAAAAACAAAUAUUUGGGGUUUUUGGGCUUCCUGAAGGUAAUACCCGGGUAUUAGGUUAUGGGGCUUUGGAAAGGUUUAAGGUUUUUGGCGUGAGGGUUAAAAUCAGUGUUCAAAACCUUUGUAGGGAGUCUUUUCCAACCUUUUGGAGUUAGUUAGACCAAUAAAAAAAUGAAAAAUGAAAAAAAAAUAUUUGGGGUUUUCGGGCUUCCUGAAGGUAAUACCCGGGUAUUAGGUUUUGGGGCUAGGAUUAGGUUUAAGGUUUUUGGCGUUAGGGUUAAAAUCACUGUCCAAUAUUUUUUAAGGAACAUGUUUCAGACCUUUUGGAGUUAGUUAGACCAAAAAAAAAGAAAAAAGAAAAAAAAAAUAUUUGGGGUUUUCGGGCUUCCUGAAGGUAUUAGGUUUUGGGGCUAGGUUAAGGUUUAAGGUUUUUGGCGUUAGGGUUAAAAUCACUGUCCAAAACCUUUGUAGGAACUCUUUUCCAACCUUUUGGAGUUAGUUAGACAAAAAAAAAAAAGAUAAAUGAAAAAAAAAUAUUUGGGGUGUUCGGGCUUCCUGAAGGUAAUACCCGGGUAUUAGGUUAUGGGGCUAGGGUAAGGUUUAAGGUUUUUGGCGUCAGGGUUAAAAUCACUGUCCAAAACCUUUUUAGGAACAUGUUUCAGACCUUUUGGAGUUGGUAACACCAAAAAAAAAUGUAAAAUGAAAAAAAAAAAAUAUUUGGGUUGUUCAAGCUUCCUGAAGGUAAUACCCGGGUAUUAGGUUAUGGGGCUAGGGUAAGGUUUAAGGUUUUUGGCGUGAGGGUUAAAAUCAGUGUUCAAAACCUUUGUAGGGAGUCUUUUCCAACCUUUUGGAGUUAGUUAGACCAAUAAAAAAAUGAAAAAUGAAAAAAAAAUAUUUGGGGUGUUCGGGCUUCCUGAAGGUAAUACCCUUCAGGUUUAAGUAUUAGGUUAUGGGGCUAGGAUUAGGUUUAAGGUUUUUGGCGUUAGGGUUAAAAUCACUGUCCAAUAUUUUUUAAGGAACAUGUUUCAGACCUUUUGGAGUUAGGUAGACCAAAAAAAAGAAAAAAGAAAAAAAAAUAUUUGGGCUUUUCGGGCUUCCUGAAGGUAUUAGGUUUUGAGGCUAGGGAAAGGUUUAAGGUUUUUGGCGUUAGGGUUAAAAUCACUGUCCAAAACCUUUUAAGGAACAAGAUUCAGACCUUUUGGAGUUGGUUACACCAAAAAAAAUGUAAAAUGAAAAAAAAUAUAUUUGGGGUGUUCGGGCUUCCUGAAGGUAAUACCCUUCAGGUUUAAGUAUUAGGUUAUGGGGCUAGGAUUAGGUUUAAGGUUUUUGGCGUAAGGGUUAAAAUCACUGUCCAAUAUUUUUUAAGGAACAUGUUUCAGACCUUUUGGAGCUAGUUUGACCAAAAAAAAAAAGAAAAAGAAAAAAUAUAUAUUUGGGGUGUUCGGGCUUCCUGAAGGUAAUACCCGGGUAUUAGGUUAUGGGGCUAGGGUAAGGUUUAAGGUUUUUGGCGUGAGGGUUAAAAUCACUGUCCAAAACCUUUGUAGGAAGUCUUUUCCAACCUUUUGGAGUUAGUUAGACAAAAAAAAAAAGAUAAACACCCCAAAAAAUAUUUGGGGUGUUCGGGCUUCCUGAAGGUAAUACCCGGGUAUUAGGUUAUGGGGCUAGGGUAAGGUUUAAGGUUUUUGGCGUAAGGGUUAAAAUCACUGUCCAAAACCUUUUUAGGAACAUGUUUCAGACCUUUUAGAGUUGGUUACACCAAAAAAAAUGUAAAAUGAAAAAAAAUUUUUUUUGGGUGUUCGGGCUUCCUGAAGGUAAUACUAGGUUUCUGGGCUAGGGUAAUGUUUAAGGUUUUUGGCGUUAGGGUUAAAAUCAAUGUCCAAAACCUUUGUAGGAACUCUUCCAACCUUUGAGAGCAAGUUAGACCAAAACAAAAAGAAAAAUAAAAAAUAUAUAUUUGGGCUUUUCGGGCUUCCUGAAGGUAAUAGGUUAUGGGGCUAGGGUAAGGUUUAAGGUUUUUCGGCGUGAGGGUAAAAAUCACUGUCCAAAACCUUUGUAGGAACACUUUACCAUCCUUUUGGAAUUAGUUAGACCAAAAAAAAAACGAAAAAUGAAAAAACAAUAUUUGGGCUUUUCGGGCUUCCUGAAGGUAAUACCCGGGUAUUAGGUUAUGGGGCUAGGGUAAGGUUUAAGGUUUUUGGCGUUAGGGUUAAAAUAACUGUCCAAUAUUUUUUAAGGAACAUGUUUCAGACCUUUGGGAGUUAGUUAGACAAAAAAAAAGAAAAAGAAAAAAAAAUAUUUGGGGUGUUCGGGUUUCCUGAAGGUAAUACCCGGGUAUUAGGUUAUGGGGCUAGGGUAAGGUUUAAGGUUUUUGGCGUUAGAGUUAAAAUCAGUGUCCAAAACCUUUUUAGGAACAUGUUUAAGACCUUUUGGAGUUGGUUACACCAAAAAAAAAUGUAAAAUGAAAAAAAAAAUAUUUGGGGUGUUCGGGCUUCCUGAAGGUAAUACCCUUCAGGUUUAAGUAUUAGGUUAUGGGGCUAGGAUUAGGUUUAAUGUUUUUGGCGUUAGGGUUAAAAUCACUGUCCAAUAUUUUUAAGGAACAUGUUUCAGACUUUUUGGAGCUAGUUUGACAAAAAAAAAAGAAAAAAAAAUGUAUAAAUUUGGGGUGUUCGAGCUUCCUGAAGGUAAUAAUUUGUAUUACCUUUGUAGGAAGUCUUUUCCAACCUUUUGGAGUUAGUCUUUUGUAGGAAGUCUUUUCCAACCUUUUGGAGUUAGUUAGACAAAAAAAAAAAGAUAAAUGAAAAAAAAAUAUUUGGGGUGUUCGGGCUUCCUGAAGGUAAUACCCGGGUAUUAGGUUAUGGGGCUAGGGUAAGGUUUAAGGUUUUUGGCGUGAGGGUUAAAAUCACUGUCCAAAACCUUUGUAGGACCUCUUUUCAAACCUUUUGGUGUUAGUUAGACCAAUAAAAAAAUGAAAAAUGAAAAAAAAAAAUUUGGGGUGUUCGGGCUUCCUGAAGGUAAUACCCGGGUAUUAGGUUUUGGGGCUAGGAUUAGGUUUAAGGUUUUUGGCGUUAGGGUUAAAAUCACUGUCCAAUAUUUUUUAAGGAACAUGUUUCAGACCUUUUGGAGUUAGUUAGACCAAAAAAAAUGUAAAAUGAAAAAAAAAUAUUUGGGGUUUUCGGGCUUCCUGAAGGUAUUAGGUUUUGGGGCUAGGGUAAGGUUUAAGGUUUUUGGCGUUAGGGUUAAAAUCACUGUCCAAAACCUUUUAAGGAACAAGAUUCAGACCUUUUGGAGUUGGUUACACCAAAAAAAAUGUAAAAUGACAAAAAAAAUAUUUGGGGUGUUCGGGCUUCCUGAAGGUAAUACCCUUCAGGUUUAAGUAUUAGGUUAUGGGGCUAGGAUUAGGUUUAAGGUUUUUGGCGUAAGGGUUAAAAUCACUGUCCAAUAUUUUUUAAGGAACAUGUUUCAGACCUUUUGGAGUUAGUUAGACAAAAAAAAAAAGAUAAAUGAAAAAAUAUAUAUUUGGGGUGUUCGGGCUUCCUGAAGGUAAUACCGGGUAUUAGGUUAUGGGGCUAGGUUAAGGUUUAAGGUUUUUGGCGUGAGGGUUAAAAUCACUGUCCAAAACCUUUGUAGGAAGUCUUUUCCAACCUUUUGGAGUUAGUUAGACAAAAAAAAAAAGAUAAAUGAAAAAAAAAUAUUUGGGGUUUUUUGGCUUCCGGAAGGUAAAACCCAGGUAUUAGGUUAUGGGGCUUUGGAAAGGUUUAAGGUUUUUGGCGUGAGAGUUAAAAUCACUGUCCAAAACCUUUGUAGGAAGUCUUUUCCAACCUUUUGGAGUUAGUUAGACCAAUAAAAAAAUGAAAAAUGAAAAAAAAAAAUUUGGGGUGUUCGGGCUUCCUGAAGGUAAUACCCGGGUAUUAGGUUUUGGGACUAGGAUUAGGUUUAAGGUUUUUGGCGUUAGGGUUAAAAUCACUGUCCAAUAUUUUUUAAGGAACAUGUUUCAGACCUUUUGGAGUUAGUUAGACCAAAAAAAAGAAAAAAGAAAAAAAAAUAUUUGGGGUUUUCGGGCUUCCUGAAGGUAUUAGGUUUUGGGGCUAGGGUAAGGUUUAAGGUUUUUGGCGUUAGGGUUAAAAUCACUGUCCAAAACCUUUUAAGGAACAUGUUUAUGACCUUUUGGAGUUGGUUACACCAAAAAAAAUGUAAAAAUAAAAAAUAUAUAUUUGGGGUGUUCGGGCUUCCUGAAGGUAAUACCCGGGUAUUAGGUUAUGGGGCUAGGGUAAGGUUUAAGGUUUUUCGGUGUGAGGGUAAAAAUCACUGUCCAAAACCUUUGAGGAACUCUUUUCCAACCUUUGGGAAUUAGUUAGACAAAAAAAAAUAGAUAAAUGAAAAAAAAAAUAUUUGGGGUGUUCAAGCUUCCUGAAGGUAAUACCCGGGUAUUAGGUUUUGGGGCUAGGGUAAGGUUUAAGGUUUUUGGCGUUAGGGUUAAAAUCACUGUCCAAAACCUUUUAAGGAACAAGAUUCAGACCUUUUGGAGUUGGUUACACCAAAAAAAAUGUAAAAUGAAAAAAAAAAUAUUUGGGGUGUUCGGGCUUCCUGAAGGUAAUACCCUUCAGGUUUAAGUAUUAGGUUAUGGGGCUAGGAUUAGGUUUAAGGUUUUUGGCGUAAGGGUUAAAAUCACUGUCCAAUAUUUUUUCAGGAACAUGUUUCAGACCUUUGGGAGUUAGUUAGACAAAAAAAAAAGAAAAAGAAAAAAAAAUAUUUGGGGUGUUCGGGCUUCCUGAAGGUAAUACCCGGGUAUUAGGUUAUGGGGCUAGGGUAAGGUUUAAGGUUUUUGGCGUUAGAGUUAAAAUCACUGUCCAAAACCUUUUUAGGAACAUGUUUAAGACCUUUUGGAGUUGGUUACACCAAAAAAAAAUGUAAAAUGAAAAAAAAAUAUAUUUGGGGUGUUCAAGCUUCCUGAAGGUAAUACCCGGGUAUUAGGUUUUGGGGCUAGGGUAAGGUUUAAGGUUUUUGGUGGUAGGGUUAAAAUCACUGUCCAAAACCUUUGUAGGAACUCUUUUCCAACCUUUUGGAGUUAGUUAGACCAAAAAAAACAAAAAAUAUAUAUAUAUAUAUUUGGGGUCUUCGGGCUUCCUGAAGGAAAUACCCAGGUAUUAGGUUAUGGGGCUAUAGUAAGGUUAAAGGUUUUUGGCGUUAGGGUUAAAAUCACUGUCCAAAACCUUUGUAGGAACUAUUUUCCAACCUUUUGGAGUUAGUUAGACCAAAAAAAAAACAAAAAAUGAAAAAAAAAAAAUUGGGGUGUUCAAGCUUCCUGAAGGUAAUACCGGGUAUUAGGUUAUGGGGCUAGGGUAAGGUUUAAGGUUUUUGGUGUUAGGGUUAAAAUCACCGUCCAAAACCUUUGUAGGAACUCUUUUCCGACCUUUUGGAGUUAGUUAGACCAAAAAAAAAGAAAAAAGAAAAAUAUAUAUUUGGGGUCUUCGGGCUUCCUGAAGGAAAUACCCGGGUAUGAGGUUAUGGGGCUAGGGUAAGGUUUAAGGUUUUUGGCGUUAGGGUUAAAAUCACUGUCCAAAACCUUUGUAGGAACUCUUUUCCAACCUUUUGGAGUUAGUUAGACCACAAAAAAAAGAAAAAUGAAAAAAAAAUAUUUGGGGUUUUUGGGCUUCCUGAAGGUAAUACCCGGGUUUUAGGUCAUGGGGCUAGGGUAAGGUUUAAGGUUUUUGGCGUUAGGGUUAAAAUCACUGUCCAAAACCUUUUUAGGAACAUGUUUAAGACCUUUUGGAGUUGGUUACACCAAAAAAAAUGUAAAAUGAAAAAAAAUAUAUUUGGGGUGUUCGGGCUUCCUGAAGGUAAUACCCGGGUAUUAGGUUUUGGGGCUAGGGUAAGGUUUAAGGUUUUUGGUGGUAGGGUUAAAAUCACUGUCCAAAACCUUUGUAGGAACUCUUUUCCAACCUUUUGGAGUUAGUUAGACCAAAAAAAAACAAAAAAUAUAUAUAUAUAUAUUUGGGGUCUUCGGGCUUCCUGAAGGAAAUACCCGGGUAUGAGGUUAUGGGGCUAGGGUAAGGUUUAAGGUUUUUGGCGUUAGGGUUAAAAUCACUGUCCAAAACCUUUGUAGGAACUAUUUUCCAACCUUUUGGAGUUAGUUAGACCAAAAAAAAAACGAAAAAUGAAAAAAAAAAUAUUUGGGGUGUUCAAGCUUCCUGAAGGUAAUACCCGGGUAUUAGGUUAUGGGGCUAGGGUAAGGUUUAAGGUUUUUGGCGUUAGGGUUAAAAUCACUGUCCAAAACCUUUGUAGGAACUCUUUUCCGACCUUUUGGAGUUAGUUAGACCAAAAAAAAAGAAAAAAGAAAAAAAUAUAUUUGGGGUCUUCGGGCUUCCUGAAGGAAAUACCCGGGUAUGAGGUUAUGGGGCUAGGGUAAGGUUUAAGGUUUUUGGCGUUAGGGUUAAAAUCACUGUCCAAAACCUUUGUAGGAACUCUUUUCCAACCUUUUGGAGUUAGUUAGACCACAAAAAAAGAAAAAUGAAAAAAAAAUAUUUGGGGUUUUUGGGCUUCCUGAAGGUAAUACCCGGGUAUUAGGUCAUGGGGCUAGGGUAAGGUUUAAGGUUUUUGGCGUUAGAGUUAAAAUCAGUGUCCAAAACCUUUUUAGGAACAUGUUUAAGACCUUUUGGAGUUGGUUACACCAAAAAAAAUGUAAAAUGAAAAAAAAAAAUAUUUGGGGUGUUCAGGCUUCCUGAAGGUAAUACCCGGGUAUUAGGUUAUGGGGCUAUAGUAAGGUUAAAGGUUUUUGGCGUUAGGGUUAAAAUCACUGUCCAAAACCUUUUAGGAACAUGUUUCAGACCUUUUGGAGUUGGUAACACCAAAAAAAAAUGUAAAAUGAAAAAAAAUAUAUUUGGGGUGUUCGGGCUUCCUGAAGGUAAUACCCGGGUAUUAGGUUUGGGGCUAGGGUAAGGUUUAAGGUUUUUGGCGUUAGGGUUAAAAUCACUGUCCAAAACCUUUGUAGGAACUCUUUUCCGACCUUUUGGAGUUAGUUAGACCAAAAAAAAAAAAAAAGAAAAAAAUAUAUUUGGGGUGUUCGGGCUUCCUGAAGGUAAUACCCGGGUAUUAGGUUAUGGGGCUAGGGUAAGGUUUAAGGUUUUUGGCGUUAGGGUUAAAAUCACUGUCCAAAACCUUUGUAGGAACUCUUUUCCAACCUUUUGGAGUUAGUUAGACCAAAAAAAAAACGAAAAAUGAAAAAAAAAUAUUUGGGGUUUUCGGGCUUCCUGAAGGUAAUACCCGGGUAUUAGGUUAUGGGGCUAGGGUAAGGUUUAAGGUUUUUGGCGUUAGGGUUAAAAUCACUGUCCAAAACCUUUUUAGGAACAUGUUUAAGACCUUUUGGAGUUGGUUACACCAAAAAAAAUGUAAAAAGAAAAAAUAUAUAUUUGGGGUGUUCGGGCUUCCUGAAGGUAAUACCCGGGUAUUAGGUUUUGGGGCUAGGGUUAGGUUUAAGGUUUUUGGCGUUAGGGUUAAAAUAACUGUCCAAUAUUUUUUUAAGGAACAUGUUUCAGACCUUUUGGAGUUAGUUAGACAAAAAAAAGAAAAAGAAAAAAAAAAUAUUUGGGGUGUUCGGGUUUCCUGAAGGAAUUAGGUUUUGGGGCUAGGGUAAGGUUUAAGGUUUUUGGCGUUAGGGUUAAAAUCACUGUCCAAAACCUUUGUAGGAACAUGUUUCAAACCUUUUGGUGUUAGUUAGACAAAAAAAAAAAUGAAAUAUGAAAAAAAAAAUUUGGGGUGUUCGGGCUUCCUGAAGGUAAUACCCGGGUAUUAGGUUUUGGGGCUAGGAUUAGGUUUAAGGUUUUUGGUGUUAGGGUUAAAAUCACUGUCCAAAACCUUUUAAGGAACAUGUUUCAGACCUUUUGGAGUUAGUUAGACCAAAAAAAAAUGUAAAAUGAAAAAAAAAUAUUUGGGGUGUUCGGGCUUCCUGAAGGUAAUACCGGGUAUUAGGUUUUGGGGCUAGGGUAAGGUUUAAGGUUUUUGGCGUUAGGGUUAAAAUCACUGUCCAAAACCUUUUAAGGAACAUGUUUAUGACCUUUUGGAGUUGGUUACACCAAAAAAAAUGUAAAAUGAAAAAAAAAUAUUUGGGGUGUUCGGGCUUCCUGAAGGUAAUACCCGGGUAUUAGGUUAUGGGGCUAGGAUAAGGUUUAAGGUUUUUGGCGUAAGGGUUAAAAUCACUGUCCAAUAUUUUUUAAGGAACAUGUUUCAGACCUUUUGGAGUUAGUUAGACAAAAAAAAAAAGAUAAAUGAAAAAAUAUAUAUUCGGGGUCUUCGGGCUUCCUGAAGGUAAUACCUGGGCUAUAGGUUAUGGGGCUAGGGUAAGGUUUAAGGUUUUUGGCGUGAGGGUUAAAAUCACUGUCCAAAACCUUUGUAGGAAGUCUUUGCCAACCUUUUGGAGUUAGUUAGACAAAAAAAAAAAGAUAAAUGAAAAGAAAAUAUUUGGGGUUUUUUGGCUUCCGGAAGGUAAAACCGGGUAUUAGGUUAUGGGGCUUUGGAAAGGUUUAAGGUUUUUGGCGUGAGAGUUAAAAUCACUGUCCAAAACCUUUGUAGGAAGUCUUUUCCAACCUUUUGGAGUUAGUUAGACCAAUAAAAAAAUGAAAAAUGAAAAAAAAAAAUUUGGGGUGUUCGGGCUUCCUGAAGGUAAUAAUAGGUAAUAAUAGUAUUAGGUUUUGGGACUAGGAUUAGGUUUAAGGUUUUUGGCGUUAGGGUUAAAAUCACUGUCCAAUAUUUUUUAAGGAACAUGUUUCAGACCUUUUGGAGUUAGUUAGACCAAAAAAAAGAAAAAAGAAAAAAAAAUAUUUGGGGUUUUCGGGCUUCCUGAAGGUAAUACCCGGGUAUUAGGUUUUGGGGCUAGGUUAAGGUUUAAGGUUUUUGGCGUUAGGGUUAAAAUCACUGUCCAAAACCUUUUAAGGAACAUGUUUCAGACCUUUGGGAGUUGGUUACACCAAAAAAAAAUGAAAAAUGAAAAAAAAUAUAUUUGGGGUGUUCGGGCUUCCUGAAGGUAAUACCCGGGUAUUAGGUUAUGGGGCUAGGGUAAGGUUUAAGGUUUUUGGUGUGAGGGUUAAAAUCACUGUCCAAAACCUUUGUAGGAACAUGUUUCAGACCUUUUGGAGUUGGUUACACCAAAAAAAAUGUAAAAUGAAAAAAAAAAUAUUUGGGGUGUUCGGGCUUCCUGAAGGUAUUACCCGGGUAUUAGGUUUUGGGGCUAGGGUAAGGUUUAAGGUUUUUGGUGUUAGGGUUAAAAUCACUGUCCAAAACCUUUGUAGGAACUCUUUUCAGACCUUUUGGAGUUAGUUAGACCAAAAAAAAAUGAAAAAUGAAAAAAAAUAUAUUUGGGGUGUUCGGGCUUCCUGAAGGUAAUACCCGGGUAUUAGGUUAUGGGGCUAGGGUAAGGUUUAAGGUUUUUGGCGUUAGGGUUAAAAUCACUGUCCAAAACCUUUGUAGGAACUCUUUUCCAACCUUUUGGAGUUAGUUAGACCAAAAAAACGAAAAAUGAAAAAAAAAAUAUUUGGGGUUUUUGGGCUUCCUGAAGGUAAUACCCGGGUAUUAGGUUAUGGGGCUAGGGUAAGGUUUAAGGUUUUUGGCGUUAGGGUUAAAAUCACUGUCCAAAACCUUUUUAGGAACAUGUUUAAGACCUUUUGGAGUUGGUUACACCAAAAAAAAUGUAAAAAGAAAAAAUAUAUAUUUGGGGUGUUCGGGCUUCCUGAAGGUAAUACCCGGGUAUUAGGUUAUGGGGCUAGGGUAAGGUUUAAGGUUUUUGGCGUUAGGGUUAAAAUCACUGUCCAAAACCUUUUUAGGAACAUGUUUCAGACCUUUGGGAGUUAGUUAGACAAAAAAAAAAGAAAAAGAAAAAAAAAAUAUUUGGGGUGUUCGGGUUUCCUGAAGGUAAUACCCGGGUAUUAGGUUUUGGGGCUAGGGUAAGGUUUAAGGUUUUUGGCGUUAGGGUUAAAAUCACUGUCCAAAACCUUUUAAGGAACAAGAUUCAGACCUUUUGGAGUUGGUUACACCAAAAAAAAUUUAACAUGACAAAAAAAAUAUUUGGGGUGUUCGGGCUUCCUGAAGGUAAUACCCGGGUAUUAGGUUAUGGGGCUAGGGUAAGGUUUAAGGUUUUUGGCGUAAGGGUUAAAAUCACUGUCCAAAAUUUUUUAGGAACAUGUUUCAGACCUUUUGGAGUUAGUUAGACAAAAAAAAAAGAAAAAUGAAAAAAAAUAUUUGGGGUGUUCGGGCUUCCUGAAGGUAAUACCCGGGUAUUAGGUUAUGGGGCUAGGGUAAGGUUUAAGGUUUUUGGCGUUAGAGUUAAAAUCAGUGUCCAAAACCUUUUUAGGAACAUGUUUCAGACCUUUUGGAGUUGGUUACACCAAAAAAAAUGUAAAAUGAAAAAAAAUAUAUUUGGGGUGUUCGGGCUUCCUGAAGGUAAUACCCGGGUAUUAGGUUUUGGGGCUAGGGUAAGGUUUAAGGUUUUUGGCGGUAGGGUUAAAAUCACUGUCCAAAACCUUUGUAGGAACUCUUUUCCAACCUUUUGGAGUUAGUUAGACCAAAAAAAAAAGAUAAAUGAAAAAAAAAAUAUUUGGGGUCUUCGGGUUUCCUGAAGGAAUUAGGUUUUGGGGCUAGGGUAAGGUUUAAGGUUUUUGGCGUUAGGGUUAAAAUCACUGUCCAAAACCUUUUAAGGAACAAGAUUCAGACCUUUUGGAGUUGGUUACACCAAAAAAAAUGUAAAAUGACAAAAAAAAUAUUUGGGGUGUUCAGGCUUCCUGAAGGUAAUACCCUUCAGGUUUCAGUAUUAGGUUAUGGGGCUAGGAUUAGGUUUAAGGUUUUUGGCAUAAGGGUUAAAAUCACUGUCCAAUAUUUUUUCAGGAACAUGUUUCAGACCUUUGGGAGUUAGUUAGACCAAAAAAAACAAAAUAUAUAUAUAUAUAUAUUUGGGGUCUUAGGGCUUCCUGAAGGAAAUACCCAGGUAUAGGUUAUGGGGCUAUAGUAAGGUUAAAGGUUUUUGGCGUAAGGGUUAAAAUCACUGUCCAAAACCUUUGUAGGAACUCUUUUCCAACCUUUUGGAGUUAGUUAGACCACAAAAAAAAGAAAAAUGAAAAAAAAAUAUUUGGGGUUUUUGGGCUUCCUGAAGGUAAUACCCGGGUAUUAGGUUAUGGGGCUAGGGUAAGGUUUAAGGUUUUUGGCGUUAGGUUUAAAAUCACUGUCCAAAACCUUUUUAGGAACAUGUUUAAGACCUUUUGGAGUUGGUUACAGCAAAAAAAAUGUAAAAAGAAAAAAUAUAUAUUUGGGGUGUUCGGGCUUCCUGAAGGUAAUACCCGGGUAUUAGGUUUCGGGGCAAGGGUUAGGUUUAAGGUUUUUGGCGUUAGGGUUAAAAUAACUGUCCAAUAUUUUUUUAAGGAACAUGUUUCAGACCUUUGGGAGUUAGUUAGACAAAAAAAAGAAAAAGAAAAAAAAUAUAUUUGGGGUGUUCGGGUUUCCUGAAGGUAAUACCCGGGUAUUAGGUUAUGGGGCUAGGGUAAGGUUUAAGGUUUUUGGCGUUAGAGUAAAAUGAAAAAAAAAUAUAUUUGGGGUCUUCGGGCUUCCUGAAGGUAAUACCCGGGUAUUAGGUUUUGGGGCUAGGGUAAGGUUUAAGGUUUUUGGAGUUAGGGUUAAAAUCACUGUCCAAAACCUUUGUAGGAACUCUUUUCCGACCUUUUGGAGUUAGUUAGACCAAAAAAAAAGAAAAAAGAAAAAAAUAUAUUUGGGGUCUUCGGGCUUCCUGAAGGAAAUACCCGGGUAUGAGGUUAUGGGGCUAGGGUAAGGUUUAAGGUUUUUGGCGUUAGGGUUAAAAUCACUGUCCAAAACCUUUGUAGGAACUCUUUUCCAACCUUUUGGAGUUAGUUAGACCAAAAAAAAAGAAAAAAGAAAAAAAUAUAUUUGGGGUCUUCGGGCUUCCUGAAGGUAAUACCCGGGUAUUAGGUUAUGGGGCUAGGGUAAGGUUUAAGGUUUUUGGCGUUAGGGUUAAAAUCACUGUCCAAAACCUUUGUAGGAACUCUUUUCCAACCUUUUGGAGUUAGUUAGACCAAAAAAAAACGAAAAAUGAAAAAAAAAUAUUUGGGGUUUUUGGGCUUCCUGAAGGUAAUACCCGGGUAUUAGGUUAUGGGGCUAGGGUAAGGUUUAAGGUUUUUGGCGUUAGGUUUAAAAUCACUGUCCAAAACCUUUUUAGGAACAUGUUUAAGACCUUUUGGAGUUGGUUACACCAAAAAAAAUGUAAAAAGAAAAAAUAUAUAUUUGGGGUGUUCGGGCUUCCUGAAGGUAAUACCCGGGUAUUAGGUUAUGGGGCUAGGUUAAGGUUUAAGGUUUUUGGCGUGAGGGUUAAAAUCACUGUCCAAAACCUUUGUAGGAAGUCUUUUCCAACCUUUUGGAGUUAGUUAGACAAAAAAAAAAAGAAAAAUGAAAAAAAAAUAUUUGGGGUGUUCGGGCUUCCUGAAGGUAAUACCCGGGUAUUAGGUUAUGGGGCUAGGGUAAGGUUUAAGGUUUUUGGCGUAAGGGUUAAAAUCACUGUCCAAAACCUUUUUAGGAACAUGUUUCAGACCUUUUGGAGUUGGUUACACCAAAAAAAAUGUAAAAUGAAAAAAAAUUUUUUUGGGGUGUUCGGGCUUCCUGAAGGUAAUACUAGGUUUCUGGGCUAGGGUAAGGUUUAAGGUUUUUGGCGUUAGGGUUAAAAUCAAUGUCCAAAACCUUUGUAGGAACUCUUUUCCAACCUUUGAGAGCAAGUUAGACCAAAACAAAAAGAAAAAUAAAAAAUAUAUAUUUGGGGUGUUCGGGCUUCCUGAAGGUAAUACCCGGGUAUUAGGUAGGGAUGCACGAUAUUUAUCGGACCGAUAAAAUAUCGGCCGAUUUGGGGGGAAAUUACGUCAUUUUUUAUCGGUCCGAUAGGUGCAUUUUUCCGAUAGAAAGAUCCGAUAUAUUAAUGAAAUUACGAGUAACAUUUGCAGGCGGAGUAGCCGCCCGUCCGAGACGCGCUGGUUACGUCAUCUAUCGCGCCUUACUCGCAGGUCCCAAGCCUGACCCCGUCACUACCUGACAGAUAAUAAAAUGUCUUCACCAGCAUGGUCGUUUCUCUCAGUGGCAGAAGAUGACAACAGCAUUGCUAUAUGCAAAACCUGUUCAGCGAGGAUUCCGAGAGGAGGAAAGAAGACGUCAAGUAUUAACACAGCGAAUCUGAUAGCUCAUCUGAAAAGUCGCCAUCGCGGCGAAGCGGUAAUAAAAGAAUAUGAGACAGCCGCCGAAGCUGCUAGCGGUACUAAAGCUAAGACAACAACACUACGGAGGAUCGAUGUCCCCAUUCAGCGGGCGUUUAAAAACUGCAAAAGCUUCUCAAGAGACAGCGA